rnacentral:rRNA from 1 species
ACAGCAGUAGCCGCGGGAAUACGGAGGGUGCAAGCGUUAAUCGGAAUUACUGGGCGUAAAGCGCACGCAGGCGGUUUGUUAAGUCAGAUGUGAAAUCCCCGGGCUCAACCUGGGAACUGCAUUGGUGACUGCAACGCUGGAGUGCGGCAGAGGGGGAUGGAAUUCCGCGUGUAGAGGUGAAAUUCGUAGAUAUUCGGUAGAACACCAGUGGCGAAGGCGACUGACUGGACAAGUAUUGACGCUGAGGUGCGAAAGCGUGGGGAGCAAACAGGAUUAGAGACCCCGGUAGUCCCUGUCUCUUAUAC